AUGGGGAAUUGUGAAUUAGAAUUAUGGGAAGAGAGUGAGUGUGAGUAUAGAGGUGAACCGUUGACAGGGGCCAUAAAUAAUGAGGAGGUGGGUCAAAUACACACGCGGAGUAAGGGGCCCGUUUCAGGAAUGCCACAGUUCCAGGCCCCUCUGAUACAGAAAAGAGGAGGACAGGAACCGGUAUAUGUUCCAUUUGCAAUUACAGACAUCAAUUGUUUAGUGGAUAAGAUGCCCCCACCCGCAGAGGGAGGCGGCAAGUGGAUGUCCAGACUUUUUAGUUUAACACAGAGCAUGCAGCUGGCGAUGGGAGACUUUAGAGGAAUUCUAGGGAGACAAGUCUCUCUCUGGGAUUUGGAUAAAGUUGAAGUAGCAGCAGGCAUUAAAGACAGACCUAAUGCUGCACGUUUUGGACCUUGUGCAACCAGGGUUGGUGAAGCUAUGAGACAGGUAUUUCCAAUAUCUCCAGGAGCAAUGCAGAAUCUAAGAUUUAAGUGGGAGGAAAGUGAGUCGGCACAUGGGUUCCUUACGAGGUGUAAAGAGGAAUGGAUGUGUGCCACAGGGUGCCAUCCUGGCUCAGAUAAUCUACACACCACUUUGUUCCGUCAGGCCAUAAUUUUAGGACUUCCACAAUCAGUAAAAGAAGCUAUGGAAGGAAAUCCUGACCUUCCAGGCAGUACGGCGGAUGUCUGGGAGAGACAUCUUUCACACCAUAUCAACACAUUUAAAGUUAAACAACAGGGAAAGAAAGAGGAGGUGAUGACAGCGCAGGAACAGCUCCUAAAAAUUCAGUUAGAUGAAGCACUGAAAAAGCUUAAUGAUAAACAAAAGGAAGAGAAACAGAUGGUUCAGCAGUUUCCUCGGCAGGUGCAGCCAGAUCAGUUAUGUCCGCAACAAGAUUUUGCUCCGAUAAACCCGUAUUGGGUCAGUCCAAGGGGAGGCAUGUGUGGGAGACACGGCGGGCAGGGAUACGGCUUGAUAGGCGGGUACUUAGGCCGAGAUCAGUGUCAUGCCUGCAAAGGGUAUGGUCAUUGGCAAAGGGACUGCCCAUAUCACAACUACCCGGAGGUACCAGGCAGUGUUACAUUUAGUGAUGGGUCACGCUCUGACGGUACUUACAACACAUAG
rnacentral:lncRNA from 1 species